UGGGGGAAUAUUGCACAAUGGGCGCAAGCCUGAUGCAGCAACGCCGCGUGAGGGACGACGGCCUUCGGGUUGUAAACCUCUUUUAGUAGGGAAGAAGCGAAAAGUGACGGUACCUGCAGAAAAAGCACCGGCUAACUACGUGCCAGCAGCCGCGGUAAUACGUAGGGUGCGAGCGUUGUCCGGAAUUAUUGGGCGUAAAGAGCUCGUAGGCGGUCUGUCGCGUCUGCUGUGAAAACCCGAGGCUCAACCUCGGGCCUGCAGUGGGUACGGGCAGACUAGAGUGCGGUAGGGGAGAAUGGAAUUCCUGGUGUAGCGGUGGAAUGCGCAGAUAUCAGGAGGAACACCGAUGGCGAAGGCAGUUCUCUGGGCCGUAACUGACGCUGAGGAGCGAAAGCGUGGGGAGCGAACAGGAUUAGAUACCCUGGUAGUCCACGCCGU
rnacentral:rRNA from 1 species